CGGGUGAGUAACGCGUAUCCAACCUGCCCACCACUUGGGGAUAACCUUGCGAAAGUAAGACUAAUACCCAAUGAUAUCUCUGGAAGACAUCUGAAAGAGAUUAAAGAUUUAUCGGUGAUGGAUGGGGAUGCGUCUGAUUAGCUUGUUGGCGGGGUAACGGCCCACCAAGGCGACGAUCAGUAGGGGUUCUGAGAGGAAGGUCCCCCACAUUGGAACUGAGACACGGUCCAAACUCCUACGGGAGGCAGCAGUGAGGAAUAUUGGUCAAUGGACGAGAGUCUGAACCUGCCAAGUAGCGUGCAGGAAGACGGCCCUAUGGGUUGUAAACUGCUUUUAUAAGGGAAUAAAGUGAGUCUCGUGAGACUUUUUGCAUGUACCUUAUGAAUAAGGACCGGCUAAUUCCGUGCCAGCAGCCGCGGUAAUACGGAAGGUCCGGGCGUUAUCCGGAUUUAUUGGGUUUAAAGGGAGCGUAGGCCGGAGAUUAAGCGUGUUGUGAAAUGUAGACGCUCAACGUCUGCACUGCAGCGCGAACUGGUUUCCUUGAGUACGCACAAAGUGGGCGGAAUUCGUGGUGUAGCGGUGAAAUGCUUAGAUAUCACGAAGAACUCCGAUUGCGAAGGCAGCUCACUGGAGCGCAA
rnacentral:rRNA from 1 species